rnacentral:rRNA from 1 species
AGUUCGGACUGUAGUCUGCAACCCGACUACACGAAGCUGGAAUCGCUAGUAAUCGCGGAUCAGAAUGCCGCGGUGAAUACGUUCCCGGGUCUUGUACACACCGCCCGUCACACCAUGGGAGUCGGUAACGCCCGAAGCCAGUGACCCAACCUUAGGGAGGGAGCUGUCGAAGGCGGGACGGAUAACUGGGGUGAAGUCGUAACAAGGUACC